rnacentral:lncRNA from 1 species
GCCUCCCAGCCCAAGCCAAGGAACAUGCUGAAUCUGCCAAGAACACACUCUUGACCUGGAAGGGAAAAACAACCUCAAACAAGGAGAAAAAGGAAAUCACAGAAGCUCUGGUCAUGCUCUACUACACUCUGGGAGUGGCCUGGCUCCUACAGAACCAAUAUGCUUUCCUUCCCAGAUGGGUCUGGUGAUCAGGGCUACAGGCCACACAUGCCGGAAGGGUCAUCUCACAUGGGAGAAUAGGACAUGGAUCCUUGUUAUCAUAGCUGUAUUCCAACAUUGCAGGACCUCUGCAUACUUAUAUCCACCUAGAAAGGCUCAUUCUAUCUGUGUUUCUUCGUUCACUGAAAUCAGCUCCCAAACUGCAGAGGUGGGCGCAUUAUUAGCCAAAGCUUAUGCCAUGUCUGGAGAGCCCCAGCACAAGGAUGCUGUUGAGGUGUAUUUUGCAAGAAGUACCAGUGCAUAUCAAGCAACACUGGACACAAAGAACUGUGUAACAUUGACCACCAUUGAAGAAUUUUGCAAAUGGCUUGCCCAAAUUGGGAAAAAACAGGGCAGGUAA